rnacentral:lncRNA from 1 species
GUCCCCAAGUAUGCCACCGCACGGGGGCGCGCUCACCCAACACUUCCCACAGUGUGCGUCUCCACUUCCGGACUCCGGACUCAAGAGGUCUGCUGCCGAGGGACUGGCUUGGCCUGGGGGGUUCACGACUGUCAGCCUUGCUCAGAGCACCUGGGGAACUCCAACCGAGUGGGUGCCCCAGAUGGACCUUGUCCGGCCGGCUUCGAGAGGGUUAAUGGGUCCUGCGAAGAUGUGGAUGAGUGCGCUACAGGUGGGCGUUGCCAGCACGGCGAGUGUGCCAACACGCGCGGCGGAUACACGUGCGUCUGCCCCGAUGGCUUUCUGCUUGACUCAUCCCGCAGCAGUUGCAUCUCCCAGCAUGUGA